UUUCCGUAGGUGAACCUGCGGAAGGAUCAUUCAUAAUAAAGUGUUUUAUGGCACUUUUUAAAAAUCCAUAUCCACCUUGUGUGCAAUGUUAGAUCUCGUCAAUCUUGGCGAGAUUUUUAUACAUCAACUCAUUCUUUAACUAAUUUGUCUGAAAAAUAUUAUGGAUACUUAACUCAAAAUACAACUUUCAACAACGGAUCUCUUGGCUCUC
rnacentral:misc_RNA from 1 species